AGAGUUUGAUCCUGGCUCAGAGCGAACGCUGGCGGCAGGCCUAACACAUGCAAGUCGAACGGACCCUUCGGGGUUAGUGGCGGACGGGUGAGUAACACGUGGGAACGUGCCUUUAGGUUCGGAAUAGCUCCUGGAAACGGGUGGUAAUGCCGAAUGUGCCCUUCGGGGGAAAGAUUUAUCGCCUUUAGAGCGGCCCGCGUCUGAUUAGCUAGUUGGUGGGGUAAUGGCCCACCAAGGCUACGAUCAGUAGCUGGUCUGAGAGGAUGACCAGCCACAUUGGGACUGAGACACGGCCCAAACUCCUACGGGAGGCAGCAGUGGGGAAUCUUGCGCAAUGGGCGAAAGCCUGACGCAGCCAUGCCGCGUGUAUGAUGAAGGUCUUAGGAUUGUAAAAUACUUUCACCGGUGAAGAUAAUGACUGUAGCCGGAGAAGAAGCCCCGGCUAACUUCGUGCCAGCAGCCGCGGUAAUACGAAGGGGGCUAGCGUUGCUCGGAAUUACUGGGCGUAAAGGGAGCGUAGGGCGGACAUUUAAGUCAGAGGUGAAAUCCCGGAGCUUAACUUCGGAACUGCCUUUGAUACUGGGUGUCUUGAGUGUGAGAGAGGUAUGUGGAACUCCGAGUGUAGAGGUGAAAUUCGUAGAUAUUCGGAAGAACACCAGUGGCGAAGGCGACAUACUGGCUCAUUACUGACGCUGAGGCUCGAAAGCGUGGGGAGCAAACAGGAUUAGAUACCCUGGUAGUCCACGCCGUAAACGAUGAUUGCUAGUUGUCGGGAAGCUUGCUUCUCGGUGACGCAGCUA
rnacentral:rRNA from 1 species